UGAGGAAUAUUGGUCAAUGGGCGGGAGCCUGAACCAGCCAAGUAGCGUGAAGGAUGAAGGUUCUAUGGAUUGUAAACUUCUUUUACAGGGGAAUAAAGUGCACCACGUGUGGUGUUUUGUAUGUACCCUAUGAAUAAGGAUCGGCUAACUCCGUGCCAGCAGCCGCGGUAAUACGUAGGUGGCAAGCGUUGUCCGGAAUUAUUGGGCGUAAAGGGAGCGCAGGUGGAUCGUAAAGUCUUGUUUAAAAGAGCGGGGCUCAACCCCGUUAGGGACAAGAAACUUAAGAUCUUGAGUGCAGGAGAGGGAAGCGGAAUUCCUAGUGUAGCGGUGAAAUGCGUAGAUAUUAGGAGGAACACCAGUGGCGAAGGCGACUUACUGGACGAUAACUGACGCUGAGGCUCGAAAGCGUGGGGAGCAGACA
rnacentral:rRNA from 1 species